AUGACAAAAUGUUAAACAAGUCAAAAGCGAAACCAACAUCCUGAUUUAUCUACAAAACAAUACCAGUAAACAGAAAACAAAUAUGAUAGACAGUAACCAACAACAACCACUGAAUUAAAGGCUCCUGACUUGGGACAGGCACAUACAGACAGCAACCUACGACAACCACUGAAUUACAGGCUCCUGACUUGGGUCAGGCACAUACAGACAGCAACCAACGACAACCACUGAAUUACAGGCUCCUGACUUGGGACAGGCACAUACAGACAGCAACCAACGACAACCACUGAAUUACAGGCUCCUGACUUGGGACAGGCACAUACAGACAGCAACCAACGACAACCACUGAAUUACAGGCUCCUGACUUGGGACAGGCACAUACAGACAGCAACCAACGACAACCACUGAAUUACAGGCUCCUGACUUGGGACAGGCACAUACAGACAGCAACCAACGACAACCACUGAAUUACAGGCUCCUGACUUGGGACAGGCACAUACAGACAGCAACCAACGACAACCACUGAAUUACAGGCUCCUGACUUGGGACAGGCACAUACAGACAGCAACCAACGACAACCACUGAAUUACAGGCUCCUGACUUGGGACAGGCACAUACAGACAGCAACCAACGACAACCACUGAAUUACAGGCUCCUGACUUGGGUCAGGCACAUACAGACAGCAACCAACGACAACCACUGAAUUACAGGCUCCUGACUUGGGACAGGCACAUACAGACAGCAACCAACGACAACCACUGAAUUACAGGCUCCUGACUUGGGACAGGCACAUACAGACAGCAACCAACGACAACCACUGAAUUACAGGCUCCUGACUUGGGACAGGCACAUACAGACAGCAACCAACGACAACCACUGAAUUACAGGCUCCUGACUUGGGACAGGCACAUACAGACAGCAACCAACGACAACCACUGAAUUACAGGCUCCUGACUUGGGUCAGGCACAUACAGACAGCAACCA